rnacentral:rRNA from 1 species
AGACGUAGGAUGCAAGCGUUGUUCGGAUUUAUUGGGCGUAAAGCGUACGUAGGCGGUUCGCCAAGUCUGGUGUUAAAGCUAGGAGCUCAACUCCUGUGAUGCACUGGAAACUGGCGGGCUUGAGUGCGGUAGGGGAAAGUGCAAUUCCGAGUGUAGCGGUGAAAUGCGUAGAUAUUCGGAAGAACGCCAGCGGCGAAGGCGACUUUCUGGGCCGUAACUGACGCUGAGGUACGAAAGCGUGGGGAGCAAACAGGAUUAGAUACCCUGGUAGUCCACGCCGUAAUCGAUGGUCACUAGGUGUUGGGGGUAUCGACCCCCCCAGUGCCGUAGCUAACGCGUUAAGUGACCCGCCUGGGGAGUACGCACGCAAGUGUGAA